UAACACGUGGAUAACCUACCUAUAAGACUGGAUAACUUCGGGAAACCGGAGCUAAUACCGGAUAAUAUAUUGAACCGCAUGGUUCAAUAGUGAAAGACGGUUUUGCUGUCACUUAUAGAUGGAUCCGCGCCGCAUUAGCUAGUUGGUAAGGUAACGGCUUACCAAGGCGACGAUGCGUAGCCGACCUGAGAGGGUGAUCGGCCACACUGGAACUGAGACACGGUCCAG
rnacentral:rRNA from 1 species